UACGAGGGGGGCAAAUGUUGUUCGGAAUCACUGGGCGUAAAGGGAGCGUAGGCGGGUUUCUAAGUCAGGUGUUUAAUCCCGGGGCCCAACCCCGGACAGGCACUUGAAACUGGGAAUCUUGAAUAGUGGAGAGGUCAGUGGAAUUGGGGGUGUAGCGGUGGAAUGCGCAGAUAUCAGGAGGAACACCGGUGGCGAAGGCGGGUCUCUGGGCAGUAACUGACGCUGAGGAGCGAAAGCGUGGGGAGCGAACAGG
rnacentral:rRNA from 1 species